rnacentral:misc_RNA from 1 species
GAUGAAGAACGUAGCGAAAUGAGAUAAUUAAUGUGAAUUGCAGAAUUCCGUGAAUCAUCGAGUCUUUGAACGCACAUUGCGCCUCAUGGCAUUCCGUGAGGCAUGCCCAUCUCAGCGUUAGAAAAUAUUCUCAAAUUUUAGUUUUGUGCUAAAAUUUGGAUCAUGUCAAGGAAGCUAUUACUAUUAUUGUGAUCGCUCUUUGGAAAUUGAUAGGUCUUUGAGUUGCUACUCAUAGAACGUGAUGAAUCUUUCUUCGUUCUAUUGUAAUUCACUCUGGUAGUCCUAAAACUUGUAUGCCGGUGGCAUAUCUUGUAAUUUGACCUGAGAUUGGGUAGGGAUACCCGCUGAACUUAAGCAUAUCAAUAAGCGGAGGA